rnacentral:rRNA from 1 species
CUCAAGAGAGAUUUCUCUACGGAGGAAAUCAAGCAAGCGAUUGAUGACAUGCCAGAGGACAAGGCUCCGGGUCCUGAUGGCUUCUCAGGAGGGUUCUUUAAACACUGUUGGGGAGGGACAAUUAAGGAGGAUCUGUUGUAGGCUAUGAACCAGCUGCACCACAUGGAUAGUAGGGGGCUGAACAGAAUCAACAAGGCCAUCAUCGUUCUGAUUCCCUAUAGACAGGGGGCGGACACACUCCAGGACUUCCGUCCAAUUUGUUUGCUGCACAAAUUGAUAAAAGUCUUCUCUAAGAUCCUUGCCCGGCGGCUAGCUCUUAAACUGGAAGGAUUAGUGCAUCAAUGCCAGAGCGCCUUCAUAAGAAAACGCAGUAUAUAG